GGGCUGGCGUGGGGCUGAUGUUUGCGGGGUGUCCUGCUUGAGCUGCUGGCAUGAGGGGUGUUGGAGGCGCCCGGUGGGUUCCUCCCUGUCCGGGGAGCGGUGUGGCUGUCCCCGGCUGCGUGGGACCCCCCCGGCAUUGUGGUGGGGGAGGUGGCAGCGGGGACAAUGAAACUGGCAGCCCCCCGCCCUCCUGCAUCCUCCUGCACUCUCCUGCACCCCUCCAGGCUCACCCCGACAUCAUGGGAACUCUGUAAUCAACGGGGUGCAGGAUCUGGGAUGAUGAUGCCUGUUGGAAAUGCUGGUCCCAUAGAUGACAGGGAUGGGUUCCCCCAGCUAGACCUCUGCCAGCUUCCCACAGCAUCCUCCCUCGUCCCAAAGGUUGUGUCCCCUUGUGCUGAAGGCAUCGCUCCUGUAGGGGAACACUCCUGCGGGGGAACGCUCCUGUGGGGGAGCACUCUGAGUCCCCUCAGAUCUCAGCUAUGUUCUGAAGAGCUCUUUGGUGAGGUCUGAAAUUAUUUGCUGAUGUGUUAUUAUCAUUACUAUUGUUAUUAUUUGAUGUGCUCAUGCUGCCCCAGUGCCUCGCUGCUGACCUCGGGGGAGGUUUUCGCUAUCGGAUGUGCUGUGCUUACUGCUGUGGGUGUUGGGAUGGCUGCAGGGCGGCAGGGGAAGGAGGGAAGGCAGAAACACCCCGUGGUGCUGCUGUGCCCCCAGCACAGGUGGCCCUUUGCAGAUCCAGCUGUGAGAGUCCCCACCUGGGACCACAGAACCCACUGCUGGAUGUGCAGGGGGAGCAGGCACGGAGCUCACACAGCCCUGCAGCCAACAAGUGCCUUUAUUUACAGCACUUGCAGGCUUGGUCGCUUCUCUACAUCAUGGAAAAAAUCCCACUCUUUGCUAUGAUCUGUAAGAUCAGAUAUUUCUGGGCUGGUUUGUGACUCUAAGAACUCUCAAGAGCAAGCAUAGGACAGGGAGAAACAACAGCCCCAAGGCCCAGGUGUUGAGAGCCCCACAUUUACUGAAACACGGAAAUUUGUCAUUUGCCUACAGACGCCUCCCUUCCUGCACUUGCCCGCUCUCAAGCUGCCCUGCUCAGCCCUGUGUCGCUGCUCCCCAACAGUCAUUACCCAUAAACAGCCCUGCUGCUGCGACUGAAAGUCAUUCUGAAAGUAGCAUCUAAAAUCCCCAUUAUGGCUAAAAGGCAUAAGGGCAGGCACGGGGCCACUCCUGCCCGUGUUCUCAUGUCCAGAGUACCAAGAGGCAGGACAGGAGACCUUCACCUCCCUCUGCUGAUGGGUGGACUUGCAGAGUUGGUCCCUUGAGGUUUCUUGGGGUUAGGGGAGACUUCAAACCCUAGGGCAAGCCCAGCCAGAAGCCAUGUGCAGGUCAUGGGGCUGGGGACUCUAAUGGGGCUGGGGGCUGCAGGGGCCUUUGAGGCCAGUCCCGGGUUUGAGGUGACCUUGAGGAGCUGGUGCUGGGCUGGGUCUGGUGGGUGGAGGACAUACCAGGAGCCACUGUGUGCCCUGGGGGAGGCGCCUUGGCAGCCUCAUCCUUCCCUGGCACCAGGCUGCGGGCAGCAAGGUGAUAAGGGAGGCACAGAGAGGACCCAGCCCUGAGCUGCAGCGCUGCCCCUGGGUUUCCUUCCCCUUCAGCUCCAUCCACCCGUGCUUGGCCACUCACGCUUUGGUCACGCUCCUGGCGUGAGAGAGGCCAAGUUGCCUUCCCAAAAGGUCGGGGCUGAGGCUUGGCCACCUUCCAGGGCUGGGGUGAAUUUAUUUUGAAGUGCUGGGAACUGUACUUAGCACCAGGAGUCAGGGAAGGGCCAGAAUGCAAAACUCGGGGCUGUCAACAGUGUGAAGUGUUUGCCUCUGGUCUGCGGCACAGAUCUGACUGUAGGAGAGGUGAUAAUCACCUCCUAACACAACCAUCACCAUCACUGGAGGAAAUACAGCAGCAGGGUUAAAGACAGGUCCCACGGACCUGCGCCAGCAUUGCUCUGGCAGCACUGAGCAUCUGCUGCAGGUCCUGAGAGGUGUUACAGUCAUGGACCAAAUCCUGGCCCCCUUCUCCACAGCCACAAAGCAAAGCCUCCUUCCCAGGAGCAGAAUCAGGAUUUAAAUACUCAUUUCCUGCCUCUUUGUGAUUUCCUUUGCUAGGUUGCGUGGUUGAAUUGCUUAACGUACUUGUAAAACAGGAAAAGAGGAAGAAAAAUACAGUCCAAAACCCCACCUCAAGCUAAGAGCUGAAGCAGAGGCUGCAGCCACCUCGGCUGCCCACACUGUGCCAGCAGCUCUGCACUGGUGCUCCCCAGCUCAGAACCCUUGGAGAUGACUCAGGUCCUGUUGGAAAUCCCUAUUAAUCCAUCCAUAAACAGUUCUGCUCCAGACUAUUAGAAAUAUUUAGUUCUAAGAAUGUAGAUACUUUUGUUUUUUUCAUAGCUGGAAGGUAUUUUUGGCAGAGGUUUCCAAGAACUUACAGGAUAAGCUACGCUGUGGAUGGCCCCCACCUGCAGGAUGUAUCAGGCUGCUUCUUCCCCUGGCCAAAGCUGUUCCAGCUGGAGCAAUUCCCAGUCUGCUCCUUGCACACACUGUGGAUUCCAGGAUGAUUUUCCAGCUCUCCAGAAUGCGCCAGGUGACACCAGAGGUUCGGGUGCCACAAAGCUUCUCUGGAAGUGACAUUGGAAAGUCCCUCCAUAUUUCAGGGCUUUCAGCCAAAUUUUGCUGUUCACCACAGAGGUAGAGCUUUUAUUCCAAAGGACAAUUGAGUGCUUAUGACUAAAAUUAGCUCUAGACACUGUUUUAAUUGCUCCUAGAGGUAGGAAGAUGCCUCACUCAUAGCCUCAGGACAAGUAUUUAGAUUUGUCUGUUGAUGCUGGUGAACCUGUUGCUUGCUUCACCUAUUUCUGAGUUGAGUGCUAGUGUCUCAAAUCACCUUCCUUUAGAAGCUGAGGGGCUCUGAGAUCCCAUCCUGCUGGAUUUGGGGUGUGCAGGGGAGGUGAAGAUUCCCUGGGUCUGUGCUGGGAACACUGUCUGUGCUAUGGAGGUGACCAGCCCUGGGCUCUCUGUCCUUAGGCAUUGCUUAUGCCAGUGAGCAGGACAAAUGCAGCAGAGGUGGUUUGGUUUGGGGGUUUUGGGUCCCUCCUGGAGGUGGUAACAGCAUCCUGCUCUCAACCCUGCUGAGAUCAUCCAAAAUCCUUGAGGUGUGUGUCAUACACCUCUGUCAGGAGGGUCCUUCUACACAGCCUUUGCUUUAUUGCAGUAAAAAUAAGGAUAUGGGGUGUGGGGCUAGGAGAGGAGGCCUUUUGGGACUCCUGUGAUGCCCUCAGGACUGCAGAGCCUCGAUUGUGUCAUUCAUCUCUUCCCUUGCCCCUCAUCCCCCGGCUUCAAAACCCAUCACAGGACACUGCUACGUUAAAUACCAGGGAGAUGCCCAGUGGCACAAGGGGUGUCAGGGGACAGGUGAGGGUUCCUGGGGACACCUGCAGGAUUCGGCAGCAUCCCAGGGCACCCCACGCUUUCAGGGACAAGGAGAGCAGCCCUGUGAGCUCUGCCGGUGCCUCCUGAACGCCCGGGCCGCGUUCAGCGCCGGCUGCUCAUGCCAUAGAAGGGAAGAUAAAGCCGCGGCUCCCCGGGCUCGGAGCUCCCUGGAACUGAGCCUCCCUCCAGCUCCAGAAGGGGGGCUGCAGCGGGGGCGGACACAGGGACGGCUCCUUGCUUUCCCUUGCUCUUUUCCCAAGCCAGGCUCCCAAAUUGGGGCUGUAUUUGGCCGUGUGCGGGGCCGAGGUGGGUCCCGCCGGCAGCAGGGCUGCUUUCCUCAGGGAUCGGGGAUUUUCCUCAGGGAUCGGGGUUUUGCCUCAGGGAUCGGGGUUUUGCCUCAGGGAUCAGGGUUUUUCCUCAGGGAUCGGGGUUUUUCCUCAGAGAUCGGGGUUUUUCCUCAGGGAUCGGGGUUUUUCCUCAGGGAUCGGGGUUUUGCCUCAGGGAUCGGGGUUUUUAGGGACAGCUCUGCCGGAGCUGGAGAGCAGCACCGUGUCUUCAGGUGAAUUUUCUCACCCCUCAUGCAUCUAUGCCAUACCCAGAAGCACAGCUCAGUGAUGGGCACCAGAUUUGCCCUGCGCCAGCGAGGCCGAGCCGUGACAGCCUGCGAGAUUUGCUUCUAUCUUUCAGCAACUGAUAAAAAUACACCCACUCCUUUUUUUUUUCCCCUCUUCUCCCCUCCAAGUGACUAAAUUAAACCCAUGCAGGCUGGAAGGCAUCCCACGGAGCUGUGUUGCUGGAGGCAGCUCCCGGCUCUGGGUUAUCUCAGCCCCGUGGCAGGAGUGCGGGGCUGUGCAGAACAUUCCUGCACUCCUGAGGUCAUUGCUUGGCCGCCGCCUGCUCUCGCCUGCUGCCAGCCCUGCACAGGGGCUGUAUCGGCCCUGAUUUAUGGUUAUUUUUCAUUUCUCACUCCUGCUCCAGCUGUGUCAAAGCCCAUCUGUCUAAGGCUCUGGCAGAGGCGUGUGUUUGGGGAGCUGCAAGGUGCCAGGGACCAGACUGACCUGAGCAUCCCAGGACAGGAGGAAAGCGGCAAGGGAGUGCCAAAGCUGGAGCCCUGCCAAGUGCUGCCUGCUCUUCUCCACCAAAAGUUUUGCUGCUGGAGCCCACUUUGCACCAGCACCUUGUUGGGGGGGGUGGAUCCCCCAGGUUUUCCAGCUGCAUGCUACACGGUGAACUGUCUGGGAUGCAGGGAAUUGGCAGGAGCUUGAGGCUGCCUGAUGGGCAGUACGUGCACACCCAUGGGUGCUGGGAGAGUGCAGGGGGCUGGGGACUGCUGCUCCCCAGGGACUGUGUUUUAGCAGAGCUGAUGCAGGCUCAGGGCAGGGUGUUCUCUGCCUGCAGCCACCUGCCCCCCUCUGUUCCCCCCUGCUUCAGCCCCAUCUCUCUCUGCCAGAGACAGCUAAAAGCCCAGCAGCAGAGGGGAUCGGCUUUCCAGGAGCUCUCGGCCUUGAAGACACAGAAUGCCAAUGCCUCCCUGCUUCCUGAGCACGGGGAGAAGGCAGCACGGCCAGAGGAGUGGACUGAGAGUUCGAGAUUCCUCCAAGGCCAGGAGGAGGAGGAGGAGGAGGAGCGGCUGCGGGAUGCCGGCCAGGCAGGCACUGCCAGCAUCUCCCAGGACACUGAGGUCCAGGUGGAAAAGGAAAAAGAGCUGAAGGAACAGCUUGUUGCCCUGAGGAGAGAGCACACGGAAACCCUGCAAGAGCUCCAGGGAGCACAUGAGCAGGAGAAGCUGCUGCUGACAGAGUCCCACCACAGGACUGAGGCAGCCCUACAGGAGAAAAUUCAGGAACUGAAUUCCCAGCUGAAAUCCUUCCAGGAGAGGAUGAAGCGGGUGGAGGAGUCACUCUUGAGAACAGACUACAAGAAGCACAUCCAGGAGCACGGGAGCCCCAGCCCCUUCUGGGAGCAGGAGCUGGAGAGCCUGCACUUCGUCAUCGAGAUGAAGAACGAGCAAAUCCAUGGCCUGGACAAGAAGCUGCUGCACCUGGAGACCGUGGAGGAGAGGAACCUUCUGCUGGAGGAGAAGGUGAAAACCCUCCAGCAGGAGAACGAGGACCUGCAAGUUCGCACUCAGAACCACCUGCUGGUGGCGAGGCGGCUGUCCGAGGAGCUGCGGGGCGCCCGCGGAGCGCUGGAGAAGGAGGCGCAGCUGCUGGACCAGGCUCGCCGGGAGAAGGAGGAGCUGCUCUACCGAGUGCUGAACGCCGGGGACGGCACCCCCUUCCCCCUGGCUGCCGGCGAGGUGUCGCUCAUCGCCACGUAGCACCGGCACUGCCGGGGACUGCCGGGGCUGCCCUGUGAGCCCGGGGCUGCUCCCAGCGGUGCCCCCGGUCGGGGCAGGGCUCCGGGCUGGCCGAGCCUCGGGGCGCCUCACGGAGCGCAGCGAUGGAGCAUUUCACGGGACGCUUACACCUCCUGCAUCUCCCCAGCCCGCGUGGGGCUGCAGAGGGACCCUGGUCUGCCACCCACGCAGUCCCUGCGCCCCUUCCUCUGCUGAAAGGCUGGCUGGGGCUGGAAGGGGUCAGCCAGGACACGCAGACUUGCAUUGGGCCGCAUCUGACCCAGUGCUUGGCUCCGAGCAUAAACAGCACCAGCGCUGCCCCAGGGCGUGAGGAGGAUGAGGAGGCCGCUAGGACAGGAUGGGGACAAGCACCGGGAGGAUGAGGAGGGCACUGAGGAUAUGGUGUUAACCUCACCAGGAAGGGCUCCCACCCAUGCCCUCCUGUUCCCAGCACCUCCUCCACCUUCAGCAAAUGUCUCCCAGGCUCCCAGCUCAGGGCAGACCCGGACCCUCCCAGCAUCAGGGCCACUGCAUCAGCCACUUCCGUCCUUUGUGCUGACCCUAAUCAGAAAUUCAGCAGCUGAAUGGGCAGUCAGGAAGGCAAUGUGGAUGGGGGUCCAGCUCUGACUCACAAAACUCCAUGGGGUGGCCAGAGGGGGAAAUGGGGGAGCCUGUUGUGUCCCACCAGGGCAUCCUCAGCUCCACACAUCAUCUGUGCCUCCCCCAGGUGCUGUAGCACCAAAGCAGGGGAAAGCCCAGCAAAUCCUGCCUGGUUAUGGCUGAAGGGAUCAGGAUUUCUGGACAGAGGGAUAUGGAGGCUGAUGGGGUCUAGGAUCCUGCUCUGGACACCUGGUACCACGUCCCAGAGCCCCAAAGGCAGAUCCUGCGUGGGACAUUGGAAGAAUGUGCCCGACUCUGGGAAAGGGGACACUGGGAACUGAGGAGGAGGAAUAAAUGAGUGCAGAAAAA